rnacentral:miRNA from 1 species
AUCAAUAUUCUCCAAAGUCUGU